GGACAGGACAUUUGUUCUCUCAUCCAAGCGUUAAAAUACACUGCCUGAAAAAAAAAAAAAAAUACACUGCCUGGCCAAAAAAAAAAAAAGUCGCACACUCUAAUAUUUUGUUGGACCACUUUUAGCUUAGAGAACAGCAUACAUUUGAUGUGGCAUCAUUUCGAUAAGCUUCUGCAAAAUCACAGCAUUUAUUUCUGUCCAGAGUUGCAUUAAUUUUCUACCAAGGUCUUUUAUUGAUGAUGGGAGAGUCGGACCGCUGCACAAAGUCUUCUGCAGCACAUCCCAAAGAUUCUCAGUGGGGCUGAGGUCUGGACUCUGUGGAGGCACUUUGGAACAGGGUAAAUCUGGACUCAUCAGACCACAUGACCAACCACAUUUGUUCCUCGGAGAUGAUGGUUCACCACUAUCCUUCAGGUUUUAAUAAUGUGUUGGAUGGUUCUUAACCUGAUUUUAGUAGUUUCAUAAAUCUCCUUAGUUGUUUUCUUUGCUUGAUGGAGGCCCAUAAUUUGACCCUUCUAGGACAGAGUAACAUCCUUACCAUGACCCUUAAUGUCUUCCAACAUGGUUGUUUAAGAAAUGAGAAGCUCCUCACUGCAUCAGCUAGAGUUAAAUAAGUUGUUGCAGCUGAAACAUAUUCAUCACUGCAGUAAUUAUCCAAUGGAAGCUCUUACCUAUUUGCUUAGUUAAAUCCAGGUGGCUACUUUGUUUUUGUGGCCCGGCAGUGUAUAUGAGUACAAAAGGAAUUCUUAUGUCCUUCAAUCUCACACAAAAUAAACCAGAAAGGUGUGUCAGUUUGGAAGAAAACCACAGAUCUGUUCAGUGUGUUGUCUGAGUGAUACAGAAAAUGAGUCAGAUUUUCUGUCUAUUCUAUGUUUAGUAAUGCAGUAAAACAGAAACUGACUGCGUAUAUAUAUGGAUACUGGUGAAUAUGAAUGUGGUUACUUGUAAAAAGCCAGGAAGAAAGACGACUGGGUCAAAUAUUCAGUCAGUUACUUCAUGUCCUGCAUUCUGGUGGACUUUAUGCACCAGUUUGUGCUUUUUUAAUAUCAAUUUAUUGUGGAAAUAUGUUUAUUUAUGUAAAGAAAAACAUAAAAUUGCAGCAGCUAAUGACCGCUCAAAAUAUGAUGCAAAAAAACUACAUAUGAAUCAACUUUUUUCCAUCUAAUGUUAUUCCUUUUGAGUGAACAUGCACGUAGCGGUCCUCUGCUUAUGAUGUGUUACACAUGUCCUAAAAAUCCUAACCUAUGUUUUUAGCAUAACCGUAACCAUUUGAAAAUACAUAAAAGUAUACGGAACAUUGGAGCUGAUUAUUUCAGAUAGGUUUUGUAUAUGCAGUACCACUAGAGAGCGCUACAAAGCCUCAACUGAAGAAGAUGAACAGAGAUGUGCGUGAAUAAAACCAUGAAUUUGAGCAUUUUAACUUCUCUUCUUGGGAUAUUUUCAAGAAAACUACACAUCAGGAAAAAAAACUACUGCUGAAAUGGGAUAUAUGUAUUGUGAACGAAUAGUGAGCAGCAGAGGCACCAUUUCCAAGAAUCUUUCCACUGAUAACACAAGGGGUCUCGGUGUGACAUAACAUGAUGUGACAGAGCCAUGUUCCAUUUUCUCAAAAUGCUCAUGUAUGGUUCAGUGAGAUGUAAAGUCUCACAUCAGUCAAGCUCGCAUCACACUGGUUUCCAUCUUGACAUGUUACGUGGAGCAUCAAAGAGACGUGCACGACUGUGACGCUGAAGUGAGCCUUGACACAAACCACCGCUGACGGGGAUGAUUGCAUCCAUCCAGGUUAUUUCACAAGGCAUUAACUCAGACUGGGAGGUAGCAAAGGUUUCUGAUUAAUACCCACAGAGUGAGACACAGGGGUUGUGGCUGAAUGACUUUUCUUACCUUCCAUGCCUCCUCCAACUCCGCUGUCCACUGCUCCUUCAGGAUGGGCUGCACUGCACAGAUGAAUUCUGCUCCGACGUACUGGAGAAUAAUAUGAGACACUGAUGAGCUCAGGGCUUGGUGACCAAAACUAGUAUCUUUAUGUUUGUAUGCAAAAGUAGAUGUGUUAAGGAUGAACGUCACCUCAUUCUGCUGCUGUGAUUUUAAAGGUGUCAGUUCACCGCCCAGCCAAAAAAAGUCACGCUCUAAUAUUUUGUUGGACUGCCCUUAGCUUUGAGUACGGCACUCAUUUGCUGUGGCAUAGUUUCGAUUAGCUUCUGCAAUGUCACAGCAUUUAUUUCUGUCCAGAGAUGCAUUCAUUUUUCACAAAGAUCUUUUAUUGAUGAUGGGAAAGUCGGACCACUGUUCAAAGUCUUCUCCAGCAAAACCCAAAGAUUCUCAGUGGGGCUGAGGUCUGCACUCUGUGGAGGCCAAUCCAUGUGUGAAAAUGAUGUCUCAUGCUUCCUGAUCCUCUCAUUCACAAUGUGAUCCCUAUGAAUCCUGCUAUUGUCAUCUUGGAACAUGCCCAUGAAAUCAGGGAAGAAAAACUCCAUCGAUGGAAAGACCUUGUCAUUCAGUAUAUUCAGGUAGUCAGCUGACCUCAUUCUUUGGGAACAUAACGUUGCUGAACCUGACCAACCCCAGAUCAUAAUCCUAACCCCUACAGGCUUGUAGCCACCAGUCAUGAUGAGUGAAUCACUUCAUCUUCCUCUCUUCUUACCCUGAUGCGUCCAUCACUUUGGAACAGGCUAAAUCUGGACUCAUCAGACCACAUGACCUUCUUUCAGUGCUCCAGAGUCCAACCUUUAUGCUCCAUAGCAAACCGAAGCCUUUUUUUCUGAUUAGUCUCGCUGAUCAGUGGUUUUCUUAGAGCUACACAGCUUUUUAGUCCCACGUCCAUUUGGAAAUGCUCUUACUUGUACUAUUAAACAUAGUCGUGAGUUCUACUGUUGAUUUCCUACGAUCAUCUAAGAGUUUGUUCUGACCACAUUUGUUUCUUGAAGAUGAUGGUUCUCCACUAUCCUUCAGGUUUUAAUAAUGUGUUGGACGGUUCUUAACCUCAUUUUAGUAGUUUCAGAAAUCUCCUUGGUUGUUUUCUUUGCUUGAUGGAGGCCAAUAAUUUGACUCUUCUGAGACAGAUUAACAUCCUUUCCAUGACCACAGGAUAUGUCUUCCAACAUGGUUGUUUAAGAAAUGAGAAGCUCCUCAUUGCAACAGCUAGGAUUAAAUAAGUUGUUGCAGCUGAAACAUAUUCAUCACUGUAGUAAUUAUCCAAUGGAAGCUCUUACCUAUUUGCUUAGUUAAAUCCAGGUGGCAACUUUUUGUUGGGUGUGCAAUGUCUAAUAAAGAGCUCUAUAUACAGACAACAAACGGCGUCUUUCUACUGUUGGGAUCAUGUGGGUCUUACACUGUAGUACUUGGGUGGAGCAUUGUAAUGAUAAUGGCUUUUUCCCAACUCCAGAGCCAGAGCCUCCAGUCGCUCCAGCUGGUCCAGUCUCGCCACGCUUUUCUCAAUAAAAGACAUUACCCUGAAAGAGAUGGAGAAAAGUACUCAGCGUGAGACACCCAGACUGACUGAUUGAUCCAACAGUUAACUGUGAAUUAGCAGGAGAAAACGACCAACUGAUGCAUCUAUACUAGACUGGAACAUGUCACUGGGAUUAAAGGAACCACACUUCAUCUGUUUUCUUCCACUAAUCUGGAGUCAGGUCGCAGUGGCAACAGACUAAGCAGGUCAUUCCAGACGUCCCUUUCCCCAGCAACGUUUCCCUGAUCACCCCAUGGGGAUCCCAAGAUGUUCCCAGGCCAGAUGAGUCAUGUAAUCCUUCCAUUGAAUUCAGUGUACUCCGGGGACUCUUCCUAUUCUUCCACACACAAAAAAGUGGAAGCUGACUUAGUGAGGAUGACUCCUGCUCCUGUCAUCUCUAAGCUCCUCACACAUCUUUACCUGUACAUGAGGAAAAUCACUCCUGUAGAAUGCAGAUGUUCAGAGGGAGAUGAUGCCACAUCUGGUCCAGCCGAUGGAAGGUCUUGAAGUUCUCUGACUGGCCUCGACUGAAGAUGGUCGUCUCACUGGAUUUAAGGUUCAGAUGCUCAGUAACAAACUCCACCAAUGUGCCAACAGGGAAGCUUUAGGUUUAUUAAAUGUUGCUAUGAAGGUAUCGCUGUUUUUCUUUGUGAAUGCAAUGUGCUCCAACUGAAACUUGAAUUAGAACUUAGAAGUAAAUCCUUCCAUCUGAAAGGAUUUAGUUGCAUUAAUAACCUCAUAACAUUCUAAUUUUUAUUCCAGUCUUGGUUGGAAAUAGAAUCUCUGUAUCGAUUCAAGUAAAAACUGAACUUCACAGCAUGUUGGAGCAAAACAACCAGAUGAAAACUGUGAUGGUGUUGGAUUGUCAGACCGUAAUGUUGCAGCUCAAAGCAGCUUUUCUAGCUCAGUUCAUUCUGACAUUCAGCUAUGAAUCAACACAGCAGAUGGUGAUCCAUGCUGUGGAAGUCUCACAUCUCCUGAUUUAAUGGAGCUGCUUUGCACUUUUUACACUGUUUAUUCACCAACACUUUAUUUAAUAAAAGUCCCAUCUAGUUUUUAUGAGGAAUGUGAUGUUUUAAUUUCUCUGUGAAUAACUGCAGUCUAAUGCAACAGCUGGAGUUGUAACAUCUGUCCUGAUGUUGAUCAUGAAGUAUUGAUCAGAAUACUUAUGGUCAGCAGUCAUCCCUGAAGUUUUAUAUUAAAAUCUUUACUUGUGUUGUGAACUUUGGUAAGAAGCAGAAACUUUUGCGUUGCCAUGGAUACAUGAGUGUUAAAUUCUGUCUAUGUUUCCAUUUUGGGAAAUGCAGUCCAGUUCCAGAAUGUGGAGGAAUUUAGUCUCACAAUCACAGACAACAAAUAUUAUCUGAAAGUCGGGUUAUUGUUGUUUAUCAGCACAAUACAAAAAGAUUAAUGUUAGAAAUAUUCCAGUUAAGACUCUAGAAUAUCAUGAUUUAUGUAAAUUUACCUCAAUAAUAUGAAUGUUCAGGUUAAGAUUGUGCAGUGAUAUUUAUUAUGCAAGUUUAGCUGAUUAAAGUUUAUGAAUCUGCACUAAAAUAUUAUUUAAAUUUACAUCAUUAUUAUAAUAUUUAGGGUCAGACCCUACAGUGUUGAGAUUAAGAAAUCAAAUAUUCUAUAAAAUGUAAAUACACUGAACUCAUUUGGAUAUAUUUAAGUGAGACUCUACAAUAUUAUUUGACACAAAUCUAUCUAAAUCAAAAUUUUAAUAAUUUUCAUGCCAAACAUUUACUGGACUGAUUUAAAUAUUAAAAUCACUUCUUUCUAAUCCUCUGCUGUACGUUCAAACCUGAGGCCUUAAAUAGAAACACACAAGUAUCUGAUUGAAGGAACUUCUGCAGAGUCCUGGUUCCAGAACAUGAUGAUAGAAUUAUAGACAAACUUUAACAAAAGCUGCCUGAGAGUUUACAGGUUUUUAUGUUAGAUUUCUUCAGUAAUUUAAUGAGCGUUUUCAGCAAUAAUCAAGUGUUCAUUUGAUGAACUUCAUUUCCUAAAACAUCCAGAAUUGGAGCUCAUAUCUUUGGCAGCUGUAAAGUUUCUGCUCCUUCAAAGUUCACAACACAAUGAAUGAAUUCCUAAAACACUCUCAAUGCUGGAGAGCGUUUGAUGCUGAAGCAGUGACCAGUUUUUCUGUUUCUUCUCAGGAGAUGCACAAUGAGGGACGUCUGCAGUGACUGAGAAAGAGUCUCACCACAUCCUUACAUGAGGAAAAAGACUUUAUUGAAGACUACAAUGAGGAAAAACUAUCAGACAGCAGAUGGCUGCAUUCAAGGUGAGCUCUGAACAUUUGAUCUGGAACAGGAAUUCAAUAACGGCAGCAUGAGCUUCAUUUCAGUCUGUAGCUGCUGAAUUCAUGGAUGAAUCAUCUGGCACUAGAGAGGAAGACCAUCAAACAUCCACGUCAGCUGAUGGAGGUCCAAGAGUCUCACCAAACAAACAACCUACAGAGUGAAGACCUCGAAUCUGAUUGGACGGCCUCCUAUUCAGCCACGUGUGAACAAAUGCCUCUAAGCUGAUUUGUUUUCUAAAAUAAAUCUAGUUUGAGUCCUAA